rnacentral:tRNA from 1 species
GUUUAUGUAGUUUAAAAAAAACACUACAUUUUCACUGUAGAAAUAAAAUUAUUUUUUAUAAAUU